GCAUAUCAAUAAGCGGAGGAAAAGAAACCAACAGGGAUUGCCCUAGUAACGGCGAGUGAAGCGGCAACAGCUCAAAUUUGAAAUCUGGCGUCUUUGGCGUCCGAGUUGUAAUUUGCAGAGGGCGCUUUGGCAUUGGCAGCGGUCCAAGUUCCUUGGAACAGGACGUCACAGAGGGUGAGAAUCCCGUACGUGGUCGCUAGCCUUUACCGUGUAAAGCCCCUUCGACGAGUCGAGUUGUUUGGGAAUGCAGCUCUAAAUGGGAGGUAAAUUUCUUCUAAAGCUAAAUACUGGCCAGAGACCGAUAGCGCACAAGUAGAGUGAUCGAAAGAUGAAAAGCACUUUGGAAAGAGAGUUAAAAAGCACGUGAAAUUGUUGAAAGGGAAGCGCUUGCAGCCAGACUUGCCUGUAGUUGCUCAUCCGGGUUUUUACCCGGUGCACUCUUCUAUAGGCAGGCCAGCAUCAGUUUGGGCGGUUGGAUAAAGGUCUCUGUCACGUACCUCCUCUCGGGGAGAACUUAUAGGGGAGACGUAAUGCAACCAGCCUGGACUGAGGUCCGCGCAUCUGCUAGGAUGCUGGCGUAAUGGCUGUAAGCGGCCCGUCUUGAAACACGGACCAAGGAGUCUAACAUCUAUGCGAGUGUUUGGGUGUCAAGCCCGAGCGCGUAAUGAAAGUGAACGGAGGUGGGAACCUUUCGGGGUGCACCAUCGACCGAUCCUGAUGUCUUCGGAUGGAUUUGAGUAAGAGCAUAGCUGUUGGGACCCGAAAGAUGGUGAACUAUGCUUGAAUAGGGUGAAGCCAGAGGAAACUCUGGUGGAGGCUCGCAGCGGUUCUGACGUGCAAAUCGAUCGUCAAAUUUGGGCAUAGGGGCGAAAGACUAAUCGAACUAUCUAGUAGCUGGUUCUGCG
rnacentral:rRNA from 1 species